CUCGUGUGUCGGGUGCUGGGUGCUGCUGUGUGGGGCAGCCCCUGGCGGAGGAGAGCGUGACCGGCCGUGGUGGGUGGGAGGUGGAGACGCUGGUCUGCAUGGUGGGGGCAGCUCUGGCCCCCCCGCUGGCCCCCAGGGGUUAAAGCAGGCCGUUCUCCGUGUGGCUCCGUCUCACACAGGACACGCACCACACGCGGCGGGAAACGCGGGCUCCUGCUCGGGCUUGGAGAUGGGGGGGCGACUGCCAUCGACUCUGGCUUCUGCCGUGGCGAUCGCUCUUGUUUCCGCCAAGACUCAGGGCAAAGGCGAGGAGGAGGGGCUCAAGUUGGCGUCUGGUUGCCAGCAGGUGGCUCUCGCCUCCCCAGCAGCGGGCGAAGUCAGGCGUUGAGAUCAGUGACCGGUGUGGCCCCGUGGCAGGUUCACUUUAACCGGGACGGCUCCCUGAUCGUGUCGAGCAGCUACGACGGCCUCUGCCGGAUCUGGGACACCGCCUCGGGCCAGUGCCUGAAGACGCUGAUCGAUGACGACAACCCGCCCGUGUCCUUCGUGAAGUUCUCUCCGAACGGCAAGUACAUCCUGGCCGCGACCUUGGACAACACGCUGAAGCUCUGGGACUACAGCAAAGGGAAGUGUCUGAAGACGUACACCGGCCACAAGAAUGAGAAGUACUGCAUAUUCGCGAAUUUCUCUGUCACUGGCGGGAAGUGGAUCGUGUCGGGCUCGGAGGACAACUUGGUUUACAUCUGGAACCUGCAGACGAAAGAGAUUGUGCAGAAGCUGCAGGGCCACACGGACGUGGUCAUCUCGACGGCCUGCCACCCCACAGAGAACAUCAUCGCCUCGGCCGCGCUGGAGAACGACAAGACCAUCAAGCUCUGGAAGAGCGACUGCUAGGCCCGCGGGCGCGGGGCUGUCGGGACGCCCAGCCGGGCUGGCGAGAGCUCGGUGCUCGAGGGGCUCCCUGGUCCAGGCCUGGGGACUGGAGGCGCCUGGGCCUGCGCCGCCUCCGAGGACGGCUUGGCCGAGGGCCGUGUCCCCCGCAGAGGUUCUCGGAGCUGCCGGUGGCGAUUCUUGCCAAUGCCUGUCUUGUUGGCUGGGGAAGAGUUAGAGUCUGUAUUGUGUUCGGAGGCCACAGAAAUUUCUAAUUUUUUAUUACAAAAGGUGAAGUUCAAUUUAUCACGAGUUGUGUUUUUUUCCAGUAACUGUUCUGUGCAUUUUAUCACCCAGUGCAAGUGCUGGACCAGUCGCCACCACGGUGUGUGGGCGCCAG
rnacentral:lncRNA from 1 species